CGUGCAGGCGGCUCGGUAAGUCGGAUGUGAAAGCCCGGAGCUCAACUUCGGAAGUGCAUUCGAAACUGCCGGGCUCGAGUACGGGAGAGGGAAGUGGAAUUCCUGGUGUAGAGGUGAAAUUCGUAGAUAUCAGGAGGAACACCGGUGGCGAAGGCGGCUUCCUGGACCGAUACUGACGCUGAGACGCGAAAGCGUGGGGAGCAAACA
rnacentral:rRNA from 1 species